rnacentral:rRNA from 1 species
CGCGUAGGCGGUCGAGUAAGUCUGACGUGAAAUCCCUUGGCUCAACCAAGGAACUGCGUCUUAAACUGCUCGGCUUGAGUCCGGGAGAGGGUAGUGGAAUUCCCAGUGUAGCGGUGAAAUGCGUAGAUAUUGGGAGGAACACCGGUGGCGAAGGCGGCUACCUGGACCGGUACUGACGCUGAGGCGCGAAAGCUAGGGUAGCAAACAGGAUUAGAUACCCUGGUAGUCCUAGCUGUAAACGAUGGGCACUUGGUGUAGCGGGUAUCGACCCCUGCUGUGCCGAAGCUAACGCAUUAAGUGCCCCGCCUGGGGAGUACGGUCGCAAGGCUGAA